rnacentral:rRNA from 1 species
CUCCUGUGAUUAGUGGCGAACGGGUGAGUAACACGUGAGUAACCUGCCCCUGACUCUGGGAUAAGCGUUGGAAACGACGUCUAAUACUGGAUACGACUGCCGGCCGCAUGGUCUGGUGGUGGAAAGAUUUUUUGGUUGGGGAUGGACUCGCGGCCUAUCAGCUUGUUGGUGAGGUAAUGGCUCACCAAGGCGACGACGGGUAGCCGGCCUGAGAGGGUGACCGGCCACACUGGGACUGAGACACGGCCCAAACUCCUACGGGAGGCAGCAGUGGGGAAUAUUGCACAAUGGGCGAAAGCCUGAUGCAGCAACGCCGCGUGAGGGAUGACGGCCUUCGGGUUGUAAACCUCUUUUAGUAGGGAAGAAGCGAAAGUGACGGUACCUGCAGAAAAAGCACCGGCUAACUACGUGCCAGCAGCCGCGGUAAUACGUAGGGUGCAAGCGUUGUCCGGAAUUAUUGGGCGUAAAGAGCUCGUAGGCGGUUUGUCGCGUCUGCUGUGAAAUCCCGAGGCUC